rnacentral:sRNA from 1 species
AUAACAAAAGGCGCCGGCAGGUGCGAUUUCUGCGGUCUAGUCUUGGGAGGACGCGAUUUCCGGCGCGGCAGUUGCCGCAGCCCCGAUCAACGUCAUCGGAGCGAAAUCCAGACACGCGACUUUGGAUGCAAGGCGAAAGCCUUGCAUUUUUUU